CAGCAGCCGCGGUAAUACAGAGGGUGCAAGCGUUAAUCGGAAUUACUGGGCGUAAAGCGCGCGUAGGUGGUUUGUUAAGUUGGAUGUGAAAGCCCCGGGCUCAACCUGGGAACUGCAUCCAAAACUGGCAAGCUAGAGUACGGUAGAGGGUGGUGGAAUUUCCUGUGUAGCGGUGAAAUGCGUAGAUAUAGGAAGGAACACCAGUGGCGAAGGCGACCACCUGGACUGAUACUGACACUGAGGUGCGAAAGCGUGGGGAGCAAACAGGAUUAGAGACCCCUGUAGUCCCUGUCUAUUAUAC
rnacentral:rRNA from 1 species